rnacentral:rRNA from 1 species
GACGAACGCUGGCGGCGUGCUUAACACAUGCAAGUCGAACGAUGAAGCCCAGCUUGCUGGGUGGAUUAGUGGCGAACGGGUGAGUAACACGUGGGCAACCUGCCCCAAACUCUGGGAUAACUCCUCGAAAGAGGUGCUAAUACCGGAUACGAACUAGACAGACAUCUGUACUAGUUGGAAAGUUUUUCGGUUUGGGAUGGGCCCGCGGCCUAUCAGCUUGUUGGUGAGGUAACGGCUCACCAAGGCUACGACGGGUAACCGGCCUGAGAGGGCGACCGGUCACACUGGGACUGAGACACGGCCCAGACUCCUACGGGAGGCAGCAGUGGGGAAUAUUGCGCAAUGGGCGAAAGCCUGACGCAGCGACGCCGCGUGAGGGAUGAAGGUCUUCGGAUCGUAAACCUCUUUCAGUAGGGACGAAGCGAAAGACGGUACCUAAAGAAGAAGCACCGGCUAACUACGUGCCAGCCGCCGCGGUAA